AGCAACGCCGCGUGAGUGAUGAAGGUUUUCGGAUCGUAAAGCUCUGUUGUUAGGGAAGAACAAGUACCGUUCGAAUAGGGCGGUACCUUGACGGUACCUAACCAGAAAGCCACGGCUAACUACGUGCCAGCAGCCGCGGUAAUACGUAGGUGGCAAGCGUUGUCCGGAAUUAUUGGGCGUAAAGGGCUCGCAGGCGGUUUCUUAAGUCUGAUGUGAAAGCCCCCGGCUCAACCGGGGAGGGUCAUUGGAAACUGGGGAACUUGAGUGCAGAAGAGGAGAGUGGAAUUCCACGUGUAGCGGUGAAAUGCGUAGAGAUGUGGAGGAACACCAGUGGCGAAGGCGACUCUCUGG
rnacentral:rRNA from 1 species